AACGAACGCUGGCGGCAGGCCUAACACAUGCAAGUCGAGCGAGGACUUCGGUUCUAGCGGCGGACGGGUGAGUAACGCGUGGGAAUGUGCCCUUCUCUACGGAAUAGCCCUGGGAAACUGGGAGUAAUACCGUAUACGCCCUAUUGGGGAAAGAUUUAUCGGAGAAGGAUCAGCCCGCGUUGGAUUAGGUAGUUGGUGGGGUAAUGGCCUACCAAGCCGACGAUCCAUAGCUGGUUUGAGAGGAUGAUCAGCCACACUGGGACUGAGACACGGCCCAGACUCCUACGGGAGGCAGCAGUGGGGAAUCUUAGACAAUGGGGGCAACCCUGAUCUCGCCAUGCCGCGUGAGUGAUGAAGGCCUUAGGGUUGUAAAGCUCUUUCAGCUGGGACGAUAAUGACGGUACCAGCAGAAGAAGCCCCGGCUAACUCCGU
rnacentral:rRNA from 1 species